CCCUUUCGGAGUGCAAGGGCUUGUGUUCACGG
rnacentral:scRNA from 1 species